CCUACGGAGGCUGCAGUGGGGAAUAUUGCACAAUGGGGGAAACCCUGAUGUAGCGACGCCGCGUGAGUGAAGAAUUAUUUCGGUAUGUAAAGCUCUAUCAGCAGGGAAGAAAAUGUCGGUACCUGAUUCAGAAGCACCGGCUAACUCCGUGCCAGCAGCCGCGGUACUACGGAGGGGGCAAGCGUUAUCCGGAUUUACUGGGUGUAAAGGGCGCGUAGACGGCAGCACAAGUCUGGAGUGAAAUGCCGGGGCUUAACCCCGGAACUGCUUUGGAAACUGUGCAGCUAGAGUGCAGGAGAGGUAAGUGGAAUUCCUAGUGUAGCGGUGAAAUGCGUAGAUAUUAGGAGGAACACCAGUGGCGAAGGCGGCUUACUGGACUGUAACUGACGUUGAGGCUCGAAAGCGUGGGGAGCAAACAGGAUUAGAUACCCCUGUAGUC
rnacentral:rRNA from 1 species